rnacentral:miRNA from 1 species
GCGGGUCCCACUGGGCUUCAAGGGCUUCAACCAGGUACAUACAUUUGGGUUCAGCUCCGUAAAUCCUUGAGCCUCACCGGAGCUGAACCUAAAUGUAUGGACAUGGUUGAAGCCCUUGAAAUCCAGUGGGACCGG